CUUUAAAGAAAUAUUGUCAUUUAUAUCUCAAAUCAGCAUGAACAGGACAUCUUACAGCUGUAGACAUGAUGUGUCAGAAUAUUUUUGUCUGUAUAGUGUAUCUGCUGUCAAGUGUUU